rnacentral:rRNA from 2 species
GGACUACCAGGGUAUCUAAUCCUGUUUGCUCCCCUAGCUUUCGUGCCUUAGUGUCAGGAGUUGUCCAGGGACUCGCCUUCGCCACUGGUGUUCCUCUCGAUAUCUACGCAUUUCACUGCUACACCGAGAAUUCCAGUCCCCCCUCCAACCCUCUAGCAAGGCAGUAUCCAAUGCAGUUUCGGAGUUGAGCUCCGAGAUUUCACAUCCGACUUGCCUCACCACCUACGCACCCUUUACGCCCAGUGAAUCCGAACAACGCUUGGGACCUCUGUAUUACCGCGGCGGCUGGCAC